CUACGGGAGGCAGCAGUGGGGAAUAUUGGACAAUGGGCGCAAGCCUGAUCCAGCCAUGCCGCGUGAGUGAUGAAGGCCUUAGGGUUGUAAAGCUCUUUCAGCGAGGAGGAUAAUGACGUUACUCGCAGAAGAAGCCCCGGCUAACUUCGUGCCAGCAGCCGCGGUAAUACGAAGGGGGCUAGCGUUGUUCGGAAUCACUGGGCGUAAAGCGCACGUAGGCGGACUUUUAAGUCAGGGGUGAAAUCCCGGGGCUCAACCCCGGAACUGCCUUUGAUACUGGAAGUCUCGAGGCCGAGAGAGGUGAGUGGAACUCCGAGUGUAGAGGUGAAAUUCGUAGAUAUUCGGAAGAACACCAGUGGCGAAGGCGGCUCACUGGCUCGGUACUGACGCUGAGGUGCGAAACGUGGGGAGCAAACAGGAUUAGAUACCCUGGUAGUCCACGCCGUAAACGAUGGAAGCUAGCCGUCAGUAGCAUGCUAUUUGGUGGCGCAGUAACGCAUUAAGCUUCCCGCCUGGGGAGUACGGUCGCAAGAUUAAAACUCAAAGGAAUUGACGG
rnacentral:rRNA from 1 species